UACAGAGGUCUCAAGCGUUGUUCGGAUUCAUUGGGCGUAAAGGUGCGUAGGCGGCGCGGUAAGUCGGGUGUGAAAUCUCGGAGCUUAACUCCGAAACUGCAUUCGAUACUGCCGUGCUUGAGGACUGGAGAGGAGACUGGAAUUUACGGUGUAGCGGUGAAAUGCGUAGAUAUCGUAAGGAAGACCAGUGGCGAAGGCGGGUCUCUGGACAGUUCCUGACGCUGAGGCACGAAGGUCCAGGGGAGCAAACGGG
rnacentral:rRNA from 1 species